rnacentral:misc_RNA from 1 species
GCCAUAACACAUUCACACACAAACAGGAAAAGAUGCUCACUCUGUCUAUCCCUCUAAGUGUAACAAAAGUUGUGUGUUUGCCUGAUAAUAACAAUCAGGUAGGUAAGAUAUGUUCACCUGCCUGUGUGUGUCUGUGCAUGUGUGACUGUGAUUAAUUAUAUUGUUCAUCCACAAAAAUACUCUAACCAUCUACAAAAUCAUUUUACACUGAUAUGAUCACUCUUUGGAAAUAAUAAUAUCUUUUGACACUAAUAUUCUAACUCAUGAAAACGACUAAAUUUUGAAGCAAUAAAUG